GUAAUAUAUAUGUAUAUGUAUAUAAAUAAUACUUUUUAUAGUUUAAAAUUUACGUAUUCGUAUGUACAUGUAGCAUGCACACACGUAUGUAUGUACAUACAACGCCUUCAGGGAUUCAAGUCAUGACAUGACUUAUUAGUAAUGAUAUCCCAGCAAAACUUGCGUGACCGAAACUCCAAUACUUUUACUCCAUUUUUACUUGUCACUAACACUCCCUCACAAAUCUUUGAAAUGAGUAAGAAGUCAAUCUAUUGUGUCUUUUGUUUGUUUUAUAUUAUAAGCUCUUCACUCAACAGAUGUUAAGCAAAAAUAAAACAAAAGAAGACAAACAAAUUUUUUAGCUGUCACCGCUUAUUGAAAACGAUGGAUGUGAAAGCGUACAGCAUGAUACCGUGAAUUUGACGUUUGCUUGUUCGUUGUGACAAAUUGAAUUCGAAGAAACCAAAAAUUCGGUUACAAACGCGUCGAUAUUGAGAAUUGUGCAGAUUUGUGCUUGUGCAUAUUUAUGUAAAAUUAUUUAAAAUAAAUAUUUAAAUCUAUUCUAAUUGUGUUUCGUUAAAUUUGUGAACUAUUUGUGUCUAUAAUAUUUGGAAAAAAGGUGAGUAGAUAUAAUAAUAAUUCAAUAUGAAGAAAAAUACAUUUAGUGCAUAUAUGAGCCAAGAAAAAAAGGCUUUUAACCUAAGUGUAUUUUUCACUGUAAUUAUUGCAUUGUCCCGACGGUAUUUUAUUAUAUUAUGUUAAGUUAUUUAAAAAAAUAAUUUUAUUUCCUAAUGAGAUGGAUUCACCAGCGCUUUUUGAUGAAACCUAUUUGGAGGAAUGCCCAACAACGACUUCGACUCCCGUAAAAGGUACAUGUAAAAUUGUCAUUUCAGUUUUCAAUUUAUUUUUACGCAUUUGCAUUUAGAAUAAUUGACAUUUAAACGGAAGAAAUUCAACAUUUCUGGUUGCUACAAUUCAGAGGCAAGCUUUUCAAAACAACAAGGAAACAAUUUGCCUGUGGAUGGAAAUGAUGUUUUUAACAUGUUAAAAACUAUUUCCACCCAACUACAAGAGUUGAUCAUAUGGAAAGGAAGAUGGACAGCUUUUUGAAAGAAAAUAUAAUUCAAAAAAGCGAAGAAAUGGCCCAACAAAAAACCGUCCGUGAAUGUAAGGUGCUAAUUCGAAAGUUCACCAAUCAGUAUGCCGAGAAAUUGCUUCCACCCUACCAUUAACAACACUGGCUGCAGCUUUGGAAAUGAAAGAAAAACUUAAAUGCGAAGAAUUUGCUACAGCAACGGAACAGUUUGUUUUAAGGAUGAAAGGCAGUUCCGACAGUGUAUGUGAUGUGUUACGGCAUCUGUACACUGACGAAUUCCUGACAUUGUGUAACUGGGACGGUAGGGGAGGCAAGCAACCGCUAUCAAAGUUUCUGUUGUCCAACAUAUUAUAUGAUUCUUUCAUCACUUGUGGACUUGCAAAUUUCGAGCAACAAAUGCGGAAGUCCAUCGAAAUGAGCCACCAUAGAUUUAAGCAAAAAAAAUAUAGAAAGCGAAAAGCUGAAGAAUGAUAACAUUGUAAUAAUUUUUUAGACAUACAUAUGUAUGUAUAUGUAUAUAUUAUUUUUGUAUCUAUAUAAUAAUUUAUUGAAAUAAUUUUUAUAU